rnacentral:rRNA from 1 species
GACUCUUGGUGGUGGAUGAUGUGGCCCAUGUGUCUACUAAGAAAGCAGCUAUGUAGGGGUUAUCGUGAAUGGCAGGACACAUUGGUCACUGGAUGUUUGAAUGCACUUGUGGUCCCAACUUCAUCUUGGAGCUAUGCCGGUCUGAGCAUCA